rnacentral:rRNA from 1 species
CCUACGGGAGGCAGCAGUGAGGAAUAUUGGUCAAUGGGCGGGAGCCUGAACCAGCCAAGUCGCGUGAGGGAAGACGGUCCUACGGAUUGUAAACCUCUUUUGCCGGGGAGCAUCGUGGUCCUUUCGAGGGCCCCAUGAGUGUCCCCGGAGAAAAAGCAUCGUCUAACUCCGUGCCAGCAGCCGCGGUAAUAGGGGGGAUGCGAGCGUUAUCCGGAUUUAUUGGGUUUAAGGGGUGCGUAGGCGGGCUGUUAAGUCAGCGGUAAAAUGUCGGGGCUCAACCCCGGCCUGCCGUUGAAACUGGCGGCCUCGAGUGGGCGAGAGGUAUGCGGAAUGCGGGGUGUAGCGGUGAAAUGCAUAGAUAUAACGAAGAACUCCGGUGGCGAAGGCAGCAUACCGGCGCCCGACUGACGCUGAGGCACGAAAGCGUGGGUAUCGAACAGGAUUAGAUACCCCUGUAGUC